rnacentral:rRNA from 1 species
UACGUAGGGUGCAAGCGUUAAUCGGAAUUACUGGGCGUAAAGCGUGCGUAGGCGGUUAUGUAAGUCAGGUGUGAAAGCCCCGGGCUCAACCUGGGAAUUGCAUUUGAGACUGCAUAGCUAGGGUGCGGAAGAGGGAAGCGGAAUUUCCGGUGUAGCGGUGAAAUGCGUAGAUAUCGGAAGGAACACCAGUGGCGAAAGCGGCUUCCUGGUCCAGCACCGACGUUCAGGCACGAAAGCGUGGGGAGCAAACAGG